GGCUCUGAAUUUUCUUUAAUAAAAAAUGUUUUAUUUUAAAAAAUCUUUUAAUGCUCAAAAUAGUAUUCAGAAUUAGUUAUCUAAAGAAAAUUUUAUGUAUUGAAUUGUUUAAAUUAGAGUUCGCACACGCAAUAAUUUCUCUUAAAUUCAUCCUGAUUGAGCUUGAAUAAGAAUCCAAUAUUGUUCAUGAUAAACUUGAAAGCAAUAUCUUGAAAUUUUCGUUAGACUUAUCCUGCUUGAAGACAAAAAAAUUUCGUAGUUGUCUUGUUAAAUUUAAAUAAUAAAAAAGGAUAAAAUACUGCAACUUGCUAUUAGAUUUAUCUUGUUUAGAGUGGACUAAAAAUCGAAAUUAUUCAUCAUUAUCUUGUCCGACACGCGUGUCCGAUUUUAAUUUUAAUUUUUUAAAUUGCGACACUCCAAUGCCAUGUCGGACACGUGUUCGUGCCGUGUCCGACGCGUGUCCGUGCCCGACACUUGUCCGACACUGCAUACUUAAGCGGAGUGUCGGUGCAUCAUAGUCUCUAAUUAAUUGUUUGAACUAGCAAUGUAUGAACAUUUUCAAUGAAGAUUUAUUUAAUCUAAAUGAGAUUAAUUGUAAUGGGUUAUGAUCUUCGUUCAUGUAGACUUUUGUGGCGAACUAAUAUUUUGCUGGAAAUACUAUGUACUAUUUGUUGUGUAUAUAUGUGCAGAUUUUUCACCUCUUGUAAAAUCUUACUCGAAAGAUAUGUUUGCAUAUCAAUCUUUUGUUUUGCUUAACUAUAUUUGAGGCUAUAUAAAUUCCCUUUCCUUUUGCAAAUGAUUGUGCAUAUUCUUGAGAUUGUUUGUGCCUAUUUAUAUGUUUAGUUGCUUCGAUCGUCAUAUAUGCUGGUUUUGAAAUUUUAGUUGAAAUAAAAAUAGUGAUGGAUGAAGAUUAGGAAACUAUUAUGCAAAUGUAUUCAUUGAAGAUUAGAGACUUUUUAAGUUAAUUAACUAUAUUCAUCGGCAUGUCUUUAUGUAUUGGUGUUGUUUUGGGUCUUCAAAUAGAUAUGAAUCUCUAUGCGUAUUUUAUCUGAUUUAGGCAUGUAAUUAAAUACAUUGAGAUUGAUAUGAUCACAAACAUUUUAAAAUCACUUGAUGAUUUUAUAAACUUCAGAAUAGUGUAACAUAGAGGGGAUGCCAUUUAAUCCUUCGUACGUAGUUUAUAUGCAUAGUUAUACUCAAAUAUCAUCACAAAUUUCAUUUGCACAUCAAUUAAAAAAAAAUCAAGAUAUAUUAACCUCUAACAUAUACUAUCUUUUUUGUGUUUUAGUAGCCAUGUGUUGAAUAUACAUAAGCCUUUUUUUUAUAAUAAGUUUUGUUAGUGAUCAUCUCAUUGUGUUUUUUGAAUUCUAAUUACAAUUGAGAUGAUUGUAUGCCUUUUAGUUUCUCAAACCAUGUUUAUGGACAUACUUAUUCUCAUAUAAUAUCUUGAAUUUCAUAUGCAUAUGAAUUUAAAUAUUAAAAUACAUGAAAUUCUGACACCUACUUCUCUCUUCGCAUUAUUUGUGAGGUAUAUUUGGAGCUUUUGGAGCAAUAGAUGAAGGAGCCUAUAAAUACGAGUAUUAGUCGUCUCCAUUCAUUCCGAUGGUGUGCUACAGGUAGAACCACCGGGUCAUAGCCCCCGGUGCUAAUUUUCUCGAGCUAACAGUGCCGAACUCUGCUAAAGGAAACACUAUCAAAUUAUGCUACAAUCCUUUAGCCACUGUGCCGCUGAUUGGAGACUUUCCACUGUGCAGAAAUGCUCUGCUAUAUACUACCGAUUCCAACUAUAGAAAGUUCUGCAUUCCUUCUCUGCUCUGUAUACAUAACUUCAUUCUUAUUAUUUUCGGUUCCACUACUUCACGUGAAUAACCCCACCAAUAACUGCUUCUGUUUCACCAUCAUUACCUGUAAUUUUUAGAUAUUAUAACUCCUUAAGAUAGAACCUCCUUAUUUUGCAUAUAUAGGAUGAUUGAUUGUAUUUAAGAUGUUAGCUAGCAACUCGCUUCAAGAAAGCAUAAGCCCAGAUUGUAUAUCCCUCAGUAUUUCUCUUUUCACUUCUGAUAAAUUCUGGAUAUGUCAUUUCUCCUAGGAUAAUAAAUUCAAUCUUCGAUCUUCUAAACUCAAA